AACGAACGCUGGCGGCAUGCCUAACACAUGCAAGUCGAACGAAGGCUUCGGGCUUAGUGGCGCACGGGUGCGUAACGCGUGGGAAUCUGCCCUUGGGUUCGGAAUAACUGUCAGAAAUGACUGCUAAUACCGGAUGAUGUCGUAAGACCAAAGAUUUAUCGCCCUAGGAUGGGCCCGCGUAGGAUUAGCUAGUUGGUGGGGUAAAGGCCUACCAAGGCGACGAUCCUUAGCUGGUCUGAGAGGAUGAUCAGCCACACUGGGACUGAGACACGGCCCAGACUCCUACGGGAGGCAGCAGUGGGGAAUAUUGGACAAUGGGCGAAAGCCUGAUCCAGCAAUGCCGCGUGAGUGAUGAAGGCCUUAGGGUUGUAAAGCUCUUUUACCCGGGAUGAUAAUGACAGUACCGGGAGAAUAAGCUCCGGCUAACUUCGUG
rnacentral:rRNA from 1 species